rnacentral:rRNA from 1 species
AUUGAACGCUGGCGGCAGGCCUAACACAUGCAAGUCGAGCGAGCGGCGGACGGGGGAGUAAUGUCUGGGAAACUGCCUGAUGGAGGGGGAUAACUACUGGAAACGGUAGCUAAUACCGCAUACCAUCAGAUGUGCCCAGAUGGGAUUAGCGAGUCGGUGGGGUAACGGCUCACCAAGGCGACGCUCCCUAGCUGGUCUGAGAGGAUGACCAGCCACACUGGCACUGAGACACGGUCAAGAGUCCUACGGGAGGCAGCAGGGGGAAAUAUUACACACGGGGCGCAAGCCUGAUGCAGGCAUGCCGCGUGUGUGAGGAAGGCCUUCGGGUUGUAAAGCACUGUCAGCGGGGAGGCGUUACCCGCAGAAGAAGCACCGGCUAACUCCGUGCCAGCCGCCGCGGUAAUAC